rnacentral:rRNA from 1 species
GGACCCGCACAAGCGGUGGAUGAUGUGGUUUAAUUCGAUGCAACGCGAAAAACCUUACCCACCUUUGACAUGUACGGAAGUUACCAGAGAUGGUUUCGUGCUCGAAAGAGAACCGUAACACAGGUGCUGCAUGGCUGUCGUCAGCUCGUGUCGUGAGAUGUUGGGUUAAGUCCCGCAACGAGCGCAACCCUUGUCAUUAGUUGCUACGAAAGGGCACUCUAAUGAGACUGCCGGUGACAAACCGGAGGAAGGUGGGGAUGACGUCAAGUCCUCAUGGCCCUUAUAGGUGGGGCUACACACGUCAUACAAUGGCUGGUACAGAGGGUUGCCAACCCGCGAGGGGGAGCUAAUCCCAUAAAACCAGUCGUAGUCCGGAUCGCAGUCUGCAACUCGACUGCGUGAAGUCGGAAUCGCUAGUAAUCGCGGAUCAGAAUGUCGCGGUGAAUACGUUCCCGGGUCUU